UACGGAGGGUGCAAGCGUUUAAUCGGAAUUACUGGGCGUAAAGCGCACGCAGGUGGCUGAGUCAGUCGAUUGUGAAAGCCCUGGGCUUAACCUGGGAAUUGCAGUCGAUACUACUCAGCUAGAGUAUGGGAGAGGGUAGUGGAAUUCCCGGUGUAGCGGUGAAAUGCGUAGAUAUCUGGAGGAACACCGGUGGCGAAGGCGGCAUCCUGGACCGACACUGACGCUGAUGCGCGAAAGCCAGGGAGCAAAGCGGGAUUAGAUGACCCGA
rnacentral:rRNA from 1 species